rnacentral:rRNA from 1 species
UACGUAGGGUGCAAGCGUUAAUCGGAAUUACUGGGCGUAAAGCGUGCGCAGGCGGUGAUGUAAGACAGAAGUGAAAUCCCAGGGCUCAACCCUGGAAUUGCUUUUUGAAACUGGAUAUCUUGAGUCUCGGAGAGGUUGGCGGAAUUCCCAGUGUAGCAGUGAAAUGCGUAGAUAUCAGGAGGAACACCGGUGGCGAAGGCGGCCAUCUGGACCGCAACUGACGCUGAGGCGCGAAAGCGUGGGGAGCAAACAGG